rnacentral:rRNA from 1 species
UACGAAGGGGGCUAGCGUUGUUCGGAAUCACUGGGCGUAAAGGGCGCGUAGGCGGUGCCUCAAGUCAGGCGUGAAAGCCCCGGGCUCAACCUGGGAACCGCGCUUGAGACUGGAGUACUAGAGUUCGGGAGAGGAUGGUGGAAUUCCCAGUGUAGAGGUGAAAUUCGUAGAUAUUGGGAAGAACACCGAUGGCGAAGGGCAGCCAUCUGGACCGACACUGACGCUGAGGCGCGAAAGCGUGGGGAGCAAACAGG